rnacentral:rRNA from 1 species
AACGAACGCUGGCGGCAUGCCUAACACAUGCAAGUCGAACGAGAUCUUCGGGUCUAGUGGCGCACGGGUGCGUAACGCGUGGGAAUCUGCCCUUUGGUUCGGAAUAACAGUUGGAAACGACUGCUAAUACCGGAUGAUGACGAAAGUCCAAAGAUUUAUCGCCAGAGGAUGAGCCCGCGUAGGAUUAGCUAGUUGGUGUGGUAAAGGCGCACCAAGGCGACGAGCCUUAGCUGGUCUGAGAGGAUGAUCAGCCACACUGGGACUGAGACACGGCCCAGACUCCUACGGGGGGCAGCAGUGGGGAAUAGUGGACAAUGGGCGAGAGCCUGAUCCAGUAAGGCCGCGUGAGUGAUGAAGGCCGUAGGGUUGUAAAGCUCUUUUACCCGGGAUGAUAAUGACAGUACCGGGAGAAUAAGCUCCGGCUAACUCCGUGCCAGCCGCCGCCGUAA